AUGAUUUAAUAGGGAGACUAUUAUAAAAGUGUUUUUUUAUGAUGGCCGAAGGUAUAAACAAUGAAGAAUGCCUUUCAUUGCGAAUUUCUCAGGCGAAAGAACCUAUUAAUGACA
rnacentral:ncRNA from 1 species